rnacentral:rRNA from 1 species
AUACGGAGGAUCCGAGCGUUAUCCGGAUUUAUUGGGUUUAAAGGGUGCGCAGGCGGGAGAUUAAGUCGGCGGUGAAAUUUUGCAGCUCAACUGUAAAAGUGCCUUCGAAACUGGUUUCCUUGAGUGUAGAUGAAGUAGGCGGAAUUUGUGGUGUAGCGGUGAAAUGCAUAGAUAUCACGAGGAACUCCGAUUGCGCAGGCAGCUUACUAAACUACUACUGACGCUCAGGCACGAAGGCGUGGGGAUCAAACAGGAUUAGAUACCCUGGUAGUCCACGCAGUAAACGAUGUUUACUAGCUGUUUGCGAUACAGUGUAAGCGGCUGAGCGAAAGCGUUAAGUAAUCCACCUGGGGAGUACGUUCGCAAGAAUGAAACUCAAAUGAAUUGACGGGG